AUACGGAGGGUGCAAGCGUUAAUCGGAAUUACUGGGCGUAAAGCGUACGUAGGCGGUUAGUUAAGUUAGAUGUGAAAGCCCCGGGCUUAACCUGGGAACUGCAUUUAAAACUGGCUAACUAGAGUUAAGUAGAGGGGAGUGGAAUUUCAGGUGUAGCGGUGAAAUGCGUAGAGAUCUGAAGGAACACCAGUGGCGAAGGCGACUCCCUGGACUUGAACUGACGCUGAGGUACGAAAGCGUGGGUAGCAAACGGGAUUAGAAACCCCAGUAGUCC
rnacentral:rRNA from 1 species